UACACCCUUUUCACUUUGCAAAUUGGACUUAUGUCAUUAUUGGUCAUUCAAAUGGGGCAAAGGAAAUAUUCUUUUAAAACUCAAACAAACUGGGUGUCUUAUAUCCUGUCAGAGGAAACAAAU